rnacentral:rRNA from 1 species
CUUGGUCAUUUAGAGGAGUAAAAGUCGUAACAAGGUUUCCGUAGGUGAACCUGUGGAAGGAUCAUUAUCGUACAAAAUGUGAGAGGGGCAUGCGAGGGCUGUCGCUGACUCAAAGUCGUGCACGCCCGAGUGUGUCGCCUCACAUAAUAAUCCAUCUCACCCUUUGUGCAUCACCGCGUGGGCACCCCUUUGGGAUCAUCUCGGAGGGGGCUCGCGUUUUCACACAAAACCCCCCUUUUAAAAGUGUAGAAUGACCUCAUUUAUGCGCUAACCCGCAAUCAAUACAACUUUCAACAACGGAUCUCUUGGCUCUCGCAUCGAUGAAGAACGCAGCGAAAUGCGAUACGUAAUGUGAAUUGCAGAAUUCAGUGAAUCAUCGAAUCUUUGAACGCACCUUGCGCCCCCUGGUAUUCCGAGGGGCACACCCGUUUGAGUGUCGUGAAAACCUCAACCUCCUUGGUUUCUUCUGGAGACCAAAGCAGGCUUGGACUUUGGAGGCCUUUGCUGGCACCUCUCGCCAGCUCCUCUUAAAUGAAUUAGCAGGGUCCUCUUUGCUGAUCCUCGACGUGUGAUAAGAUGUUUCCAUGUCUUGGUUUCUGGCUCUGUCACCUUUGGGACCCGCUUCUAACCGUCUUCAACCUUGCGUUGAGACAACGUUCGAGCAUGUCUCCCUUCUCGGGAAGCUCCCUCGACCCCACGAACCCUUGACCUCAAAUCGGGUGAGACUACCCGCUGAACUUAAGCAUAUCAAUAAGCGGAGGA